rnacentral:rRNA from 1 species
ACGCAUUAAAGUACUCCGCCUUGGGAAAGUACCGGCCCGCAAAGGCCUAAAACUCCAAAGGAAUUGACGGGGGGCCCCGCACAAGCGGUGGGAGCAUGUGGUUUAAUUCGGAAGCAACGCGAAGAACCUUACCUGGGCUGGACAUCCCGAGAACUCCUUGGAAACUUGGAGGUGCCCUUCGGGGAAUUCGGUGACAGGUGCUGCAUGGCUGUCGUCAGCUCGUGUCGUGAGAUGUUGGGUUAAGUCCCGCAACGAGCGCAACCCUUGCCUUUAGUUGCCAUCAUUAAGUUGGGCACUCUAGAGGGACUGUCGGUGUUAAACCGGAGGAAGGUGGGGAUGACGUCAAGUCCGCAUGGCCCUUAUGCCCAGGGCUACACACGUGCUACAAUGGCCGGCACAGAGGGCAGCGAUACCGCGAGGUGGAGCAAAUCCCAGAAAGCCGGUCUCAGUUCGGAUUGGAGUCUGCAAUUCGACUCCAUGAAAUCGGAAUCGCUAGUAAUCGCAGGUCAGCAUACUGCGGUGAAUACGUUCCCGGGCCUUGUACACACCGCCCGUCACACCACGAGAGUCGUUUGUACCCGAAGUGCGUGGGCCAACCUG